rnacentral:rRNA from 1 species
UCUACGGAGAGUUUGAUCCUGGCUCAGGACGAACGCUGGCGGCGUGCUUAACACAUGCAAGUCGAACGGAUUCCACUCUUCGGGGUGGGGUUAGUGGCGAACGGGUGAGUAACACGUGAGCAACCUGCCCCUGG